rnacentral:rRNA from 1 species
GGUUGAUAGGUCUGAGGUGGAAGUGUGGCGACACAUGGAGCUGACAGAUACUAAUCGAUCGAGGACUUAACCAUAUUU